GUGCUCACUUUGGCAACACAUAUGCUGAAAUUGGAAUAAUACAGAGCAGAUUAGCUUACCCCACACAAGGAUGACACAAAUUUGUGAAGCAUUCCAUAUUUUU